ensembl:lncRNA
CUUGGAUUGUGGGAAACGUAGUCUCCCGAGGCGGCCUUCCGCUUUAGCUUCUUCCCUGUCAUGGCUGCUUCCCGUCCGUGAACAUCGGAGGCCUGAGCCCGGGGAGUGUUGGCUGCUUUCGCCCCUGCCGCCGCGCUGGGUGCUCCCAGAGAAAGUUUCCAGCCGUCGCGUGCACCCCGCGCCGCCGGGAACCCUACCCUGGGCCGACCGCGCCUUAAUUCUCUAACUUUGCCUCGGGCCGAGAGGGGCCGCGGGAAGGAGCUCGGGGACCCGUCGGCUCCGCAGAGACCGGCUUCCGCACGCUGCCGUCUCUCCAAUCUAGCCUUGAGUAUUUUCCUUCAGCCCUCAAGAACCAGGCAACAUGGCCUCAAUGGGUGAUCUCUCCAAAGUAUUUCUGGUCCUCCUUUCACUGCUCUGUGUGCUGCCUGUGGUGGAAGCAGUAGAAGCUGGCGAUGGGAUAGCGCUUCUUCUGGGCAUGUUUCUCAGCCUUACAGGCAUUUGUGCCUGUUUGGGGAUAUAUGCCAGAAAGAGAAAUGGACAGAUGUGACUUGGGGCAGGGAUGGGGUCGCCCAAGUCAAACAUAACCCUGAAAACCUCUCUGUGUGAGAUUUCUAACUCAGAAAUCAGUUUCUUAAAUGUCAAGGUCCAGAUAGUAAGCAAAUGGUUAUUUUCUAAUCCUUGGAAGAAGUUGCCUUAAAAUGUAAAAAGGGAAGGAAGAAUCAUUUUAUUCAUGAUCAGUAUAAGCCUGGUGGUUCACCAACAUGAAAAUUGGUCAAUAACUUGCAAGGGCUUAAAGGAAGGGGUGGAGGGUACUAUCAAAGAAAUAAAAGAACUGUCAUUUAACCUGAAUGAUGUUCCUCGGCUUCUGGAGCAAUGAAGUUAUAGGAAAAAAGAACUGCCUGUUUAGAAUUGUUGGAUGUCAGAUAUUUUCUGUACUCUAAUAUUACGAAAAAUACUACCCAAAGAGGAUUUGAGACAUCCUUGUUCUGUAUUUAUAUCAAAGAAUUUAUCUAGUUUGUAACCCCAGUUAUAUACUACGGUUAAAUAUAAAAUUUACCUGGUAGCCAUUGGAAGCUUAAAAAAUUCUUCAUAAGGGAUUUGGAAACAUAUGUUAGUUACAUAUUUGCUGUUUAAAUAAAGGAAAGAUUUAAUGUCAUUAAAAAAACUUUUAUAUUGACUACUAAGCAUUUCUGGGAAACACGUUAAAAUAAACAUUAGACUGCUAUGCUAACAAAAUGAAUACUUAAAUGUUUGAUUUCAUUUAUAUGGAGGUGCUUGUUUUUAAAGAAUGUGGAGCAUGAGUUAAGUUUUUUAUUCCAUUUUAGCCAUGAGAAAAGAAUCCUUACCUUGACUGACCUAAUCAGGGGGAGUUUCCUGGAGAAGACAGAAGAAAACAUAAAUCCAGAAUUGACAUAUGCACAGCAGAAACUGACUGGAGAUGUUAAUGAGAGAUACCAUAGAGAAAAGGCUAUAAGAAUUGUGAAAAGAUGGUGCAGCUUAGAAACAAUGAUCCAGUAGUUCUGACAAUAUGAAAGUGACUGAGCAAGUUGAGUCUGCACUACUAGUGACCAAGGGGUAGACAACUAAGGAUUUCAGAAACACAUCUAGGAUCCAAAAUAUGUAAUUAUGAUAUUGGAACCAUCCCUUUAUAGUGGACGAAGGCAAGGCAACAGGAUGAUUAAAUUCUCUACUGUGCUGCCCAGAUAUUGAAUGACGGGUCUGCCAGUAAAGGAUAUGGAGAGGAAAGUGUCGAUUUUAAAAAUGUUAUAGCAAAAGUGACUUUAUAUUUUCAAUGUUUUUUUUCCACCAGUAAAUGGUUCCUUUGGGAGAGGGGAAGUGGGUAUGUUGCUUUAAAAGUGCAAAAGGUGCUACAUUUGGAGCCUGAGAAUCUCAGUUCAGAUCUGAAUUCUGUCAAUUAUUUCCUUUGUUACAAGCAAGUCAUUUGACCUCUCUGAGGCAGACUUUUCUCCUUUAUAUAGGAAAAUAAAUAGGGUUGGACUGGAUCUCUUAGGUCCCUUCCAGCUCUAAAUCUAAUCCUAUUUAUUAAUCAAAUCAAUAAUUAGGCAUAGUAGAAUUACUGGAACUAAAUUUAAAAUAUAUAAAACAGUAAAGGAAAAAAUGUGGCAGGCUACUACAGUCUCCUACUGUUGUAGUCCAAUGCAACCACAACAGCAUGCCAUAUGUCCCUUUUCUGCAAGCCUAAAUGUAUCCAUUAAGCCUGUGAAAUCUGGAAAAAUACCUUCAAUACCACAGAAGAUUAUAUAGUCAUUUAAUUCCAGCCUGAUGCUAUUAAAAUGAUAUUCGAAAUGAGACAAUGGGUUGAAAAGAUAUAGCUUGAAUGAAAAUGUUUUUGUGCUUUUAAAAUGCCUAAGAAAAAUGGGGGCAUUACAUUUUCACUUUUUUUCCCUGAAGUAUCAAGGCAUAGUAAGCGCUAGCUAUAUAAAUGUUAGCUAUGAUGAUGAUGAACCUAAACUGAAAGCAGAGUUAGAACCAGAGGAGACAAAUGGAAAUAUUCCUCCUAGAACGAUUUAUUGAAAAUGGCUGAAAAUAAAGUAGUAUGGCGAUAUAGAGAAUGUUUAAAAAUAGAGACUUGCUUCAUGGCCCGGCUAUUAAUCUCCUAUCCAGUCAAACUGACCUUAGUUGUUCACCCAGCACAAGCUCCCCUCUGCACUCUCAGUUCCUCCUUUCAUUUCUGCUUUGAUAGUCCCUGCCCUUAGUACAGAGCCUACCAUAGAACAGAGCCUUAAAAGGCUUGCUGAAUGACUGACUGGGUUUUGAAGGGUAGACUUCUUGGUCAUUUUUCUGAUUAAUCCAUAGCAUCUAUCAGGGCUUUCUUUCCACAAAGGCUUAUUGAUAUUCACUUAUGUCUGACUCUCUGUGACUCCAAUUGGGAUUUCCUUUGCAAAGAUAGGGGAAUCGUUUGCCAUUUCCUUCUUCAGUUAAUUUUACAGAUGAGGAAACUGAGGCAAACAGGAUCACACAGCUAGUAUCAGGCCAGAUUUGGACUAGAAGAUGUACUUUCUAAUACCUGACCCAAAAUACC